rnacentral:rRNA from 1 species
UACAGAGGUCCCAAGCGUUGUUCGGAUUCACUGGGCGUAAAGGGUGCGUAGGCGGUCGGGUAAGUCUGACGUGAAAUCUCCAAGCCUAACUUGGAAACUGCGUUGGAUACUAUCCGGCUCGAGGAAUGGAGGGGAGACUGGAAUACUUGGUGUAGCAGUGAAAUGCGUAGAUAUCAAGUGGAACACCAGCGGCGAAGGCGAGUCUCUGGGCCGAUACUGACGCUGAGGAGCGAAAGCGUGGGGAGCGAACAGG